rnacentral:rRNA from 1 species
UACGAGUGGCCCGAGCGUUAAUCGGAAUCAUUGGGCUUAAAGCGUGCGCAGGCGGAUCGGUAGGCGCUUUGUGAAAGCCCCCGGCUCAACCGGGGAACAGCGGGGCGAACCACCGGUCUUGAGGCAGGUAGGGGAAGACGGAACUGUCGGUGGAGCGGUGAAAUGCGUAGAUAUCGACAGGAACGCCGAUGGCGAAGGCGGUCUUCUGGGCCUGUCCUGACGCUCAUGAACGAAAGCGUGGGGAGCAAACAGG